UACGUAGGGGGCUAGCGUUAUCCGGAAUUACUGGGCGUAAAGGGUGCGUAGGUGGUUUCUUAAGUCAGAGGUGAAAGGCAACGGCUCAACCGUAGUAAGCCUUUGAAACUGGGGAACUUGAGUGCAGGAGAGGAGAGUGGAAUUCCUAGUGUAGCGGUGAAAUGCGUAGAUAUUAGGAGGAACACCAGUUGCGAAGGCGGCUCUCUGGACUGUAACUGACACUGAGGCACGAAAGCGUGGGGAGCAAACAGG
rnacentral:rRNA from 1 species